rnacentral:rRNA from 1 species
ACGCUGGCGGCAUGCUUUACACAUGCAAGUCGGACGGCAGCACAGAGAAGCUUGCUUCUUGGGUGGCGAGUGGCGAACGGGUGAGUAACAUAUCGGAACGUACCGAGCAGUGGGGGAUAACUAAUCGAGAGAUUAGCUAAUACCGCAUAUAUUCUGAGGAAGAAAGCAGGGGACCAUUUGGCCUUGCGCUGUUUGAGCGGCCGAUAUCUGAUUAGCUAGUUGGUGGGGUAAAGGCCUACCAAGGCGACGAUCAGUAGCGGGUCUGAGAGGAUGAUCCGCCACACUGGGACUGAGACACGGCCCAGACUCCUACGGGAGGCAGCAGUGGGGAAUUUUGGACAAUGGGCGCAAGCCUGAUCCAGCCAUGCCGCGUGUCUGAAGAAGGCCUUCGGGUUGUAAAGGACUUUUGUCAGGGAAGAAAAGGGCGGGGUUAAUACCCCUGUCUGAUGACGGUACCUGAAGAAUAAGCACCGGCUAACUACGUGCCAGCAGCCGCGGUAAUACGUAGGGUGCGAGCGUUAAUCGGAAUUACUGGGCGUAAAGCGGGCGCAGACGGUUACUUAAGCAGGAUGUGAAAUCCCCGGGCUCAACCUGGGAACUGCGUUCUGAACUGGGUGACUAGAGUGUGUCAGAGGGAGGUAGAAUUCCACGUGUAGCAGUGAAAUGCGUAGAGAUGUGGAGGAAUACCGACGGCGAAGGCAGCCUCCUGGGAUAACACUGACGUUCAUGCCCGAAAGCGUGGGUAGCAAACAGGAUUAGAUACCCUGGUAGUCCACGCCCUAAACGAUGUCAAUUAGCUGUUGGGCAGCAUGACUGCUUAGUAGCGAAGCUAACGCGUGAAAUUGACCGCCUUGGGGAGUACGGUCGCAAGAUUAAAACUCAAAGGAAUUGACGGGGACCCGCACAAGCGGUGG